GGCAGCCGCAGUAGAAGUGAGCCUCGCCGGGCGCAGUGGGCGGGAGCGCUAUUGUUUACAAGCAAGAGUUAUGCAUGGCAGAUAUGAGGUGAAAAAACAAGCAAUGGACUGAUAUACAAGCAGAAGAUAACUAACAGUAGCUAUGGUACUUGGAAAUAUAGAGAAUUCUCCAUGUGAAUAUAUGUCAUAUCAAGCGAUGAAGCCAUGACCUGCAUCAAGCUGAGUCCAUAUUUAGUUCUCAUUGUACAUUAUCACAUACACCUUCAUCAUCCAGUGCAGUUAUAAUCCAUCCCCUCGUCAUUAUUACUGAAGGAGUUUUAUCAACAUCCACUAUAUUAAAACUCAUCCCAGCGAGAUAGAUGAAGUGGAACAUACAGAGUGAUUUAGGAGAGAGGAACGGCUGCAUUGAUUAGAAUCUCUUCUGAUUCCUAGUCUGAUCAUCAGUAACACAUGUAAGAGUCUUUUUACACUAGAGGAACUGUACAGGUGUCCAGAA